rnacentral:rRNA from 1 species
AGGGUUUGAUCCUGGCUCAGAACGUACGCUGGCGGCACGCCUAACACAUGCAAGUCGAACGCAGUAGCAAUACUGAGUGGCGAACGGGUGAGUAUAAUGUGGGUAUCUGCCUUUUGGUUUGGAAUAACACGAGGAAACUUGUGCUAAUACCGGAUAAGCCCUUACGGGGAAAGUUUUAACGCCAAAAGAUGAGCCUGCACUUGAUUAGCUAGUUGGUAAGGUAAUGGCUUACCAAGGCUACGAUCAAUAGCUGAUCUGAGAGGAUGAUCAGCCACAUUGGGACUGAGACACGGCCCAAACUCCUACGGGAGGCAGCAGUGGGGAAUCUUGCACAAUGGGGGAAACCCUGAUGCAGCGAUGCCGCGUGAGUGAAGAAGGCCUUUGGGUUGUAAAGCUCUUUCGUCGGGGAAGAAAAUGACUGUACCCGAAUAAGAAGGUCCGGCUAACUUCGUGCCAGCAGCCGCGGUAAUUC